AUGGCACACGGACUGGAACUUUCACGUGUCUUGAUUCCACCUCUGACCAGAUGUGUGACCUUGAGAAAGUCACCCAACCUCUCUGAGCCUGUUUCCUCAUCUGUAAAGUGGAGACACUGUUCUCACAGGAGAAAAUCCAGUUUGGAAACCCGGAGGGCAGAGGACACGUUGUGGCCGUUGCAGGCGAUCAUUGCAAAAAUAAACACAGGUGCAGCCUGGGGCCCUUGCGGGAGGCUGCAGGUGGCUGCGGGAGAGCCACAUUUUACUCCCAAAGGGGGGGAGUGGGGGGGUGGGGGGGAGGGUGGUGGUGGUGGAGGAUCUCUUUUCAGAACCAGUUUCAAGGUGAAGAGUCUGGUUCACCUGAAUAAAAGAAGCUGGACUGAACUCAUCAAUAUUCAUGGUCUGCUAGGGACGCUAUACCAACAUUUCACGGAGGGUGGCUGGGGGGACGGGGUGCUGGGGGAGGUGGGGGGGUGUGCCCUAAACAGCUGACAUUUACUUCUCACAGGUCUGGGGGCGGGGAAGUCCAGGAGCACCAUGCCAGGCCAAUUCCUGCUCUGGUGAGAGCUCCCUUCCAGGCUUGCCGCUGGCUGCCUUCUUGCUGCGUCCUCACAGGGCAGACAGAGCUCUGGUGUCUCCUCCUCUUAGAAGCACUUCAAUCCCACCUUGAGGACCCCACUCUCAUGACCUCAUCUAAACCUAAUUACCUCCCAAAGAGCCAGUCUCGGAAGACCAGCACACUGGGGAUUAAGGCUUUGUCAUAUGGAUUUGGGGUGGGGCAUGGCACGCGUCACUUGCAGCACUAUCUACACCGUAUUCCUACUUAUUCCUCUCUCCUAUGUUACCCACCUGUUCCUAUUAUUCCUAUUAUAUAUAUAUAUACCACCCAACCAUUAGUGGAUGACAAUAGGCAGCUAGACAAUAGUUCAUGAGUAAGUACAUAUAUCUAUAGCUACUUACAUAUAAAGAAACAUACGUAAAUAUAUAUAGAUAUUCAUUAUGGACUGUUGCCCAUUUGCCUAUUAUCUGUUAUUGUUGUUAUCCGCGGAUGGGUGGGUGGGCUACAUCUAUGUUGUCUAAUAGAACUUUCUGCAGGGAUAGAAAUAUUCCAAAUCUGUGCUCUUUAAUAUGGAAGUCAUUAGACAAAUGUGGCUGUUGAGACUUGACACGUGGCUAAUACAACUAAGGAAAUGAAUUGUAAAUUUUAUUGCGUUUUCAUUAUUAUAUUUCAGUUUAAAGAGCCACAUGGGUUACUGGCUACUGUAUUGGACAGUGCAGAGCUAGACCGAGGUGUAUAUACAGUUUCCUCUUUAUUCAAUUUUUUUUUUUAAUUUUUUUUAUUUAUUUUAUGAUAGUCACAGAGAGAGAGAGAGAGGGGCAGAGACAUAGGCAGAGGGAGAAGCAGGCUCCAUGCACCGGGAGCCCGAUGUGGGAUUCGAUCCCGGGUCUCCAGGAUCGCGCCCUGAGCCAAAGGCAGGCGCCAAACCGCUGCGCCACCCAGGGAUCCCUCCUCUUUAUUCAAUUGAUUGGUUGUGUUGAGUUUGGAAA
rnacentral:lncRNA from 1 species